rnacentral:rRNA from 1 species
CCUACGGGGGGCUGCAGUGGGGAAUAUUGGACAAUGGGGGCAACCCUGAUCCGGCCAUGCCGCGUGUGUGAAGAAGGCCCUCGGGUUGUAAAGCACUUUCAGUGAGGAAGAACGCCUGGUGGUUAAUACCCAUCAGGAAAGACAUCACUCACAGAAGAAGCACCGGCUAACUCCGUGCCAGCAGCCGCGGUAAUACGGAGGGUGCGAGCGUUAAUCGGAAUUACUGGGCGUAAAGCGCGCGUAGGUGGCUUGAUAAGCCGGUUGUGAAAGCCCCGGGCUCAACCUGGGAACGGCAUCCGGAACUGUCAAGCUAGAGUGCAGGAGAGGAAGGUAGAAUUCCCGGUGUAGCGGUGAAAUGCGUAGAGAUCGGGAGGAAUACCAGUGGCGAAGGCGGUCUUCUGGACUGACACUGACACUGAGGUGCGAAAGCGUGGGUAGCAAACAGGAUUAGAUACCCGUGUAGUC